rnacentral:lncRNA from 1 species
UCCCACUCCUCAAAUGUUUCUUUUAGUACUUGUUUGUUCCUUUGAAGUUUCCUCCUUUUUAACUCCCCAUCCUUCCCUUCAGUCUUGUCAGCUUCAGGUGGUUCCUCUCUCAAUAGAUCUUCUUCAAAAUUCGUGUCGCCAGAUACAGGUACUGUAAGAUUUCCUGUAUAAGUUAUUCCUUCAUCAAUGGCAACUGAAGAUGCAUCACCAAUCAUCAAUGAUGGUUUGUAGCCAGAUAUAGGUACUGUAAGAUUUCCUGUAUAAGUUAUUCCUUCAUCAAUGGCAACUGAAGAUGCAUCACCGGUCAUCAAUGAUGGUUUGUCAACUGUUAUUGCACGAGAAAUUAUACUUUUGGUUCCCUUUUCAUUCUCAACCAAUGUUGACUGUUCU